rfam:Rattus norvegicus chromosome 3, whole genome shotgun sequence.
GGGGAUUUAGCUCAGUGGUAGAGCGCUUGCCUAGGAAGCGCAAGGCCCUGGGUUCCAUCCCCAGCUCCA